rnacentral:rRNA from 1 species
CCUACGGGAGGCAGCAGUGGGGAAUAUUGCACAAUGGGGGGAACCCUGAUGCAGCGACGCCGCGUGAGUGAAGAAGUAUUUCGGUAUGUAAAGCUCUAUCAGCAGGGAAGAAAAUGACGGUACCGGACUAAGAAGCCCCGGCUAACUACGUGCCAGCAGCCGCGGUAAUACGUAGGGGGCAAGCGUUAUCCGGGUUUAGUGGGUGAAAAGGGAGCGCAGACGGCUGUGCAAGUCUGGAGUGAAAGGCGGGGGCCCAACCCCCGGACUGCUCUGGAAAAUGUAAAGCUGGAGUGCAGGAGAGGUAAGCGGAAUUCCUAGUGUAGCGGUGAAAUGCGUAGAUAUUAGGAGGAACACCAGUGGCGAAGGCGGCUUACUGGACUGCAACUGACGUUGAGGCUCGAAAGCGUGGGGAGCAAACAGGAUUAGAUACCCCUGUAGUC